UAAUGGGUCAGCGACUUAUAUUCUGUAGCAAGGUUAACCGAAUAGGGGAGCCGAAGGGAAACCGAGUCUUAACUGGGCGUUAAGUUGCAGGGUAUAGACCCGAAACCCGGUGAUCUAGCCAUGGGCAGGUUGAAGGUUGGGUAACACUAACUGGAGGACCGAACCGACUAAUGUUGAAAAAUUAGCGGAUGACUUGUGGCUGGGGGUGAAAGGCCAAUCAAACCGGGAGAUAGCUGGUUCUCCCCGAAAGCUAUUUAGGUAGCGCCUCGUGAAUUCAUCUCCGGGGGUAGAGCACUGUUUCGGCAAGGGGGUCAUCCCGACUUACCAACCCGAUGCAAACUGCGAAUACCGGAGAAUGUUAUCACGGGAGACACACGGCGGGUGCUAACGUCCGUCGUGAAGAGGGAAACAACCCAGACCGCCAGCUAAGGUCCCAAAGUCAUGGUUAAGUGGGAAACGAUGUGGGAAGGCCCAGACAGCCAGGAUGUUGGCUUAGAAGCAGCCAUCAUUUAAAGAAAGCGUAAUAGCUCACUGGUCGAGUCGGCCUGCGCGGAAGAUGUAACGGGGCUAAACCAUGCACCGAAGCUGCGGCAGCGACACUAUGUGUUGUUGGGUAGGGGAGCG
rnacentral:rRNA from 1 species